GAUUUCUGGUUUGAUACAUUUUGCCGGCCACGGUUUCGUGUGUUAGUGCUUGAUGUUCUGGCCAUCCUUCCAAUCGCUAUCGGCUUAUCUUCAUUGAUCGGUCGGUGGUAUUGGAUCUUUUACUUUGAAAAAAUUAGAGUGUUUCAAGCAGGCUUUAUGCUAUGAAUACAUUAGCAUGGAAUAAUAAUUUAGGACUUCGGUUCUAUUUUGUUGGUUUCUAGGACUGAAGUAAUGAUUGAUAGGGAUAGUUGGGGGUGCUAGUAUUCAGCGGCCAGAGGUGAAAUUCUCGGAUUCGCUGAAGACUAACUUAUGCGAAAGCAUU
rnacentral:rRNA from 1 species